UACGUAGGGGGCAAGCGUUGUCCGGAAUCAUUGGGCGUAAAGAGCGUGUAGGCGGCCCGUUAAGUCCGCUGUGAAAGUCCAGGGCUCAACCCUGGGAUGCCGGUGGAUACUGUCGGGCUCGAGUCCGGAAGAGGAGUGUGGAAUUCCUGGUGUAGUGGUGGAAUGCGUAGAUAUCGGGAGGAACACCAGUGGCGAAGGCGGUUGCCUGGAGCUUUGCUGACGCUGAUGCGCGAAAGCGUGGGGAGCGAUCCGG
rnacentral:rRNA from 1 species